rnacentral:lncRNA from 1 species
AUGUGAAAACAGACAUUUUAUUUCCAUGUGGUUGACUAUUUGCCCUCACUUGAUCUAGUACUUCAAUGUGGUGUCUUUGCCUUCGCAGAGUGGAAGCUCUAGGUCAUCAACCAGCUAACCCUAACCCUGCUAACUCAGCUAUGGACAGACAAAGACAGCUUUUGAUCUACACUGAUUUCAUUGAGCUUAAUGACACUAAAGGUACAUUUAAAUAAUUCUGUAAUAUCAAGGAUACCUGAAAAUGUAAUUUUACUAAGCAUGGUGAAGACAAAUGAAUUUUAAUCAGUUAGUAUAGAAAGACUACUAUAUUUCUCCAACCUUUGAAAAUAUGUUUUAUUAUUUCAGACCCCAACUGUGUCAACCACUCAAACAACAGCGCUGACUGGCUUAAAAAGUACUUUGGGCUGUUUGUUGGUUUUGCGCCCCUAGAAGAACUCAAACGACUGCAUGGAAACUUCUCAGUGGUUGGUACUAGUUCAUGAUUUUGACCUUUUGAACUUACGGAUUCAUCCAAUAGUCAUUUGAAACCAGUUUGAAUCCAUUUUCUUAUUCCACUGUGUAGAUGGAUGUCCUGCCUAUGCUGAGCCCCAGGCAGCUGGGGGAGGUGGCCUCCACCCCUGGUCAGCUCAGAAACCUUGGAGAUGUCCACAUGAUACUGAUUCAUGUGCUUCCCAGAGAUCUGGGCGAGUUCUUUGACAUCGUUUCUCCAGCUGUUGAGGGUCUUCACCUUCCGGUGGAUGUGCGUCAGGUGCUGCUCCAUCAGGUGUUUGACAAUGCCAACCUAUCAGAUCCCUCCAUCAAAGACCCUGAGGUGCUGGUGUGGUUGGGCCAGAGACUCCGCCCACUUUUACCAAAUCUAACAGAGGAGCAUGUGGCCCCCCUCUUCAACAUCGUCAGACACAGAGACUGCAACACCAGCCAAGAAACUGGCAUUGCUGAACUCUAUCCUACCAUCACUGUCCAACGGCACACAGGCUGCUGUCCAGCAUCAAAUAAUCAUCCCUCUCAGAGAAUCAACUCCACUACGUUGCUAUAG